rnacentral:rRNA from 1 species
UACGUAGGGUGCGAGCGUUAAUCGGAAUUACUGGGCGUAAAGCGCACGUAGUCGGCUUUGCAAGUCGGUUGUGAAAUCCCCGGGCUCAACCUGGGAACUGCAUCCGAGACUGCAUUGCUAGAGUAUGGGAGAGGAAAGCGGAAUUUCUGGUGUAGCAGUGAAAUGCGUAGAUAUCAGAAGGAACAUCAGUGGCGAAGGCGGCUUUCUGGACCAAUACUGACGAUCAGGUGCGAAAGCGUGGGGAGCAAACAGG